CAUUUUCUUCCAUUAAUAAUGGUCCUGGUGAUUCUCUCAACAUCCAUAAUUGAUAACCUUCCGCUGACCAUUCCUAAACAAGAUAAUCUUUUGAAGACAGACUUAACGUAUGUGAUACUUCCAAUGCUCCAGUAGUUUCAUCGAUAUAAUAAACAAUACCCUCUGAGCUGUUAAAAAUAUAGUUAAAAACUGCACAAGUAGCAUCAUCUACAUCCUUGGCCCAAAUUCCUUGAACUUGCUGAAAUAUAUUUACAUGAAAUAUUAUCAACUUACUCUUGAACAUAAAUUAAUUAUCAAAUAUAUUUACUAAC